CCUGGCCUGUGUGAGGCUCUGAAUGGUUCGAACAUCAAGAGACUGAGUCUGAGUGGCGAAAACAGAGGUUUGAGAGUGGAUCAUGCAGAGUCGUUGUCUCAGUCGCUAUCAUCACUUACACAGCUUGAGACGCUUACACUACAUUUGAAUACAUACAUUGCGAUGCAGGUACCACGAUCAUUGAAGUAUUUGAAUAUCUACUCUAAAAAAUUGCUUCCCUCGGAAUUACGGGACAUUGUGGGCAGACUGGCAGCAUGUCCGCAUGCAAUUGAUAUUGAGCUAGAAAUUGGUUGAGCUUCAAGUAUUGAUCCCCCAGAACGAAUCCUACUCCAGGAAUACAUUCUAGUUCAACAGGAACUUGUUUCUCGGCCGAAUGUUGUAGUUAAAAAAUUCCGAACAUAUGAAUCUGAAUCUAAUUCUACGAUGCCGGUACAUUACAUUGAUGGUGUUGAUAACCCUGCUCACUGUGACUUAAGCAUUAAAGAUUAUGCAUAUGACAUAUUCGCUGAAUUAAUGGAAAGAUUCAAAUAUAGUCGAAUUUCAAUUGGACUUCAGAUAAAUCCAGACUCAUUCUUAUUAAUAAGUGUGUGUUGUUGUUUGACAUUUAAUUAAGAUGAAACUAGUGUUAUUGAAUCGUUAUAGUGUUUGUAAUACUUUGUAAAAAUCGAAACUUAUUUUACAUUAUGCGUUCACUGAUGUUGUGUUCAUUCUAUUCAUGCACUUUAGCUAUAACAUUAUGCAAAGUGUGUUGUUGCAUUUCCGACAAGUGUUAUUUGGCAAGCAAAUAUAGUGGAAACAACAAUGUUUCUAUUUUAUAACGAUCUGAACUUAAUUGUAUUAAGUCAAAUGACACGUAUAUGAUUCUGCUCCACAAAUCUUUAAAAGAGAUACAUUCGCCGGAGUUUUUCUGUAACAAUAAUGGCCUCUUAAAAUAAACAAAAUGACGGAAAUUUCGCUCCUCAAUAGUAAACUAUUUGAUAUGUAUUUAUUAAAAUCAAGAUACAUAGGCAGCGAUUCUUCGUGUCUCACUACUAAACGCAAUAAAACGGCAUAAUCACAUUACGUAUAUAUUUUGUGUAAAUGUUUUGUUAUAUGUUUUAAUUUAACGCAUGUCUUUGUUUUCAUGCAAUAAACAAUUUCAACACGGUGUUACAAUUUAAGUAGUGCCCGUUGAAGCAUGAGUAUUUAACUGUACACUUUUCAUUCCGUUGACUUUACCUAUAAAGAGUUCAUGGCAUCAUCGUUUCGAUUGUCUUCCUUUCUACAGACUUCAAGACACUUGGAUUAUUGAAAUAGAUAUAAAGUAUUUUUAUUUGUGUUUUCUGCACAGUGCGUGUCAAAUCCAAAACUUUGAAGAGUCUGGCUGUUUUUGCCUGUUUUGCCAUGUCUGUACGUGACAUUGUUGGCGUUGAUGACACUGCCCACGAUGACCUUAGCGUUAAAGCUGAUGUUUGUUAAAGAUUCUUUGAUUGUAUGAAUGACAUAAAAAUUAAUUGACUUUGUAUACGUCCAGACUCGAUGUAAUAAAUGCGUUUACAUGUGUAUGCUGUUGUUAGGCAUUGUAUUAGUAUAAAGCGAUUGUUUUUAAUGUCCUGAAGUGCAUGUGGCACUUUGUAAUCAUCGAAAAUGUGUUGACGCUAUGUGUCAAAAAUGUGUGUUGUUUUUUGUUUCAUACAUGAAAUUAAUGUAACAGGGUAUUCACUCUGACACUAAUCCUUUUAACAAUACUAACCCAAUCAAGACUGAGAGAAGUUCAGUGUGAGAGAUACUUUGUGAUGUAUGAGUGAGUUUAAUUACUAACAGUGCAUGCUUUUAUUAUGAGAUGAUUUCAUAGUCAUCUAUAUAAUUUUAAAUCAUAACUCAACAUUUGGUCACUUGUUUGUAAAACCUUGUAAGAGGUAGAAGGCUUUUUCCAAUUGCCACUUUCUACAAUAAGUCUUGAGAUCACUGGUGAGUGCAUUAUUCUAUGUUUAUAUAAUUGUAUUUUCUUGAAUUACAUUGUAUUGCAUAUUAUUUAUAUAAUUGUAUUUUCUUGAAUUGUAAUUGUAUUGUAUUGCAUAUUAUUAUGUAUUACAAUGAAUUAUUUAAAGUGUUAUUAUAAUUGUCAUUUGUUAAUUAUAACAUGAUUUUUAUGCCCCCCUUCGAAGAAGAGGGGGUAUAUUGCUUGCUCAUGUCGGUCUGUCGGUCGGUCUGUCCGUCCACCAGGUGGUUGUCAGACGAUAACUAAAGAACGCUUGAGCCUAGGAUCAUGAAUCUUCAUAGGUACAUUGAUCAUGACUUGCAGAUGACCCCUAUUGAUUUUGAGGUCACUAGGUCAAAGGUCAAGGUCACGGUGACCCGAAAUAGUAAAAUGGUUUCCGGAUGAUAACUCAAGAACGCAUACGCCUAGGAUCAUGAAACUUCAUGGGAAGAUUGAUCAUGACUCGCAGAUGACCCCUAUUGAUUUUGAGGUCACUAGGUCAAAGGUCAAGGUCACGGUGACCCGAAAUAGUAAAAUGGUUUCCGGAUGAUAACUAAAGAACGCAUACGCCUAGGAUCAUGAAACUUCAUGGGUAGAUUGAUCAUGACUCGCAGAUGACCCCUAUUAAUUUUGAGGUCACUAGGUCAAAGGUCAAGGUCACGGUGACCCGAAAUAGUAAAAUGGUUUCCGGAUGAUAACUCAAGAACGCAUACGCCUAGGAUCAUGAAACUUCAUGGGAAGAUUGAUCAUGACUCGCAGAUGACCCCUAUUGAUUUUGAGGUCACUAGGUCAAAGGUCAAGGUCACGGUGACCCGAAAUAGUAAAAUGGUUUCCGGAUGAUAACUAAAGAACGCAUACGCCUAGGAUCAUGAAACUUCAUGGGUAGAUUGAUCAUGACUCGCAGAUGACCCCUAUUAAUUUUGAGGUCACUAGGUCAAAGGUCAAGGUCACGGUGACCCGAAAUAGUAAAAUGGUUUCCGGAUGAUAACUCAAGAACGCAUACGCCUAGGAUCUUGAAACUUCAUGGGUAGAUUAAUCAUGACUCGCAGAUGACCCCUAUUGAUUUUGAGGUCACUAGGUCAAAGGUCAAGGUCACGGUGACCCGAAAUAGUAAAAUGGUUUUCGGAUGAUAACUCAAGAACGCAUACGCGUAGGAUCAUGAAACUUCAUAGGUAGAUUGAUCAUGACUUGCAGAUGACCCCUAUUGAUUUUGAGGUCACAAGGUCAAAGGUCAAGGUCACGGUGACCCGAAAUAGUAAAAAGAUUUUCGGAUGAUAACUCAAGAAGGCUUUUGCCUAGGAUCAUGACACUUCAUAGGUACAUUGAUCGUGACUCGCAGAUGACCCCUAUUGAUUUUCAGGUCACUAAGUCAAAGGUCAAGGUCACAGUGAUAAAAAUCGUAUUCACACAAUGGCUGCCACUACAACGGACAGCCCAUAUGGGGGGCAUGCAUGUUUUACAAACAGCCCUUGUUAUUCAUGUUUCAGGCCAUCAUUUACAUCAUUUAUACUUUAUAGUAUUAAAAGCUUGGAACGUAAAACCCAGGUUGCGUUAUAAACUCAAACCCCGGCUUCAUUAAGCUAAAGCAUUAUGCUUUCAUUCUGUGUUGUUGAAUAUACCACUAGUGUUUUUUGACAAAACAAUAGAGUAGACAAAUAAUAUUUCGAUUUUAAAAUGAUCUCAGUCUAAUUUGUAGUGACAUUCAAUGACAAUUUUAUAUUUUUAAUAUACGUCCAUCUUUAAAAGAUACACAUUCACACAAGCUUUGCUGGUCAAUUGAUGGAAUGUUAAAAUAAACAAAUCAUGUCAAUUUAGCUCCGAAAUUGUAAAUAACUUCAGAUGCAUUAGUUCAAAUACACGAAAAAAGAUUAGGCGAUGUUUCUUCUUGCAACAGAGCAGUGUCACACUACUAAACGCAAUAAGACUAUUAAUUACAUUGAGUUAACGUUUUGUGUACAUGGUAUUAAUAUGUACAUAGCUUCAUUCAAUGCUAUCUUUUGUGUUGAGGAAUUAUAUAAUUUAAGAGUUUGAUACAGUCUUACACAUGCACGUUAAAGUAUACGCAAUUAACUGUACAUUUAUCCCGCAAUAUACUGUAAGCAUUUGACUUCAUCUAUUACUAUUGCAUGAUUUCUCAGUUAUGAUUUCCGUUGUUUUCUUUAUAAUUAUCACAACUUGAUUAGUUAAUAUUAAAGAUAUUAAUGUGUGUAUAUUUGAUUUGUGUGCAAAGGGCGUGUCGUUUUGAUUGUCUGUAAUAACUGUACCCUCAAGAAAUGGCCAUUAAAUUACGUUUCAAUAACAAUAACAAAAUGAAAGUAUUUAUUUGUAAAAUGCAUAUAGAUUCAACAGUUUAGAUGCAUUUUCUCACAUAUGUAUAUGUAUGCCCUCCUUCAAAGAAGAGGGGGUAUAUUGCUUUGCUCAUGUCGGUCUGUCGGUCCGUCCACCAGGUGGUUGUCAGACGAUAACUCAAGAACGCUUGGGCCUAGGAUCAUGAAACUUCACAGGUACAUUGAUCAUGACUCGCAGAUGACCCCUAUUGAUUUUGAGGUCACUAGGUCAAAGGUCAAGGUCACGGUGGCCCAAAAUAGUAAAAUGGUUUCCGGAUGAUAACUCAAGAACGCUUACGCCUAGGAUCAUGAAACUACAUUGACCAUGACUCACAGAUGACACCUAUUGAUUUUUAGGUCACAAGGUCGAAGGUCAAGCUCACGUUGACCCGAAAAAGUAAAAUGGUUUCCGGCUGAUUACUCAAGAACGCUUGCGCCUAGGAUCAUGAAACUUCAUAGGUGCAUUGAUCAAGACUCGCAGAUAACCCUUAUCGAUUUUCAGGUCAAUUGGUCAAAGGUCAAGGUCACGGUGACCCAAAACAUUAAAAUGGUUUCCGGAUGAUAGUUCAAGAAUGCUUUCGCCUAGGAUCACAUAACUUCACAGGUACAUUGAUUCUGACUCGCAGAUGAUCCCUAUUGAUUUUCAGGUCACUAGGUCAAAGGUCAAGGUCACAGUGACCCGAAACAAUAAAAUUGUUUCCGGAUGAUAAUUCAAGAACGCUUAUGCCGAGGAUCAUGAAAUAUCAUAUGUACAUUGAUCAUGAUUCGCAGAUGACCCCUAUUGAUAUUUAGGUCACUAGGUCAAAGAUCAAGGUCACGGUGACUCAACUUAGAAAAAAAUGGUUUCCGGAUGAUAACUCAACAACGCUUACAACAAGGAUCAUGAAACUUCAUAGGUACAUUGAUCAUGACUCGCAGAUGAACCCUAUUGACUUUCAGGUCACUAGGUCAAAGGUCACGGUGACUCGGACACAGUUAAAUAGUUUCCGGAUGAUAAUUCAAGAACGCUAAUGCCUAGGAUCAUGAAACUUCAUAGGUACAUUGAUCAUGAUUCGCAGAUGACCCCUAUUGAUUUUCAGGCCACUAGGUAAAAGAUCAAGGUCACGGUGACUCAACUUAGAAAAAUGGUUUCCGGAUGAUAACUCAAUAACGCUUACGACAAGGAUCAUGAAACUUCAUAGGUACAUUGAUCAUGACUCGCAGAUGAACCCUAUUGAUUUUCAGGUCACUAGGUCAAAGGUCAAGGUCACAGUGACAAAAAACGUAUUUACACCAUGGCUGCCACUACAACUGACCGCCCAUAUGGAGGGCAUGCAUGUUUUACAAACAGCCCUUGUUUCUUAUUAAUAACGAGUUAUCAUUGUUUCGGAUUGUUUAUUAAUUGUGUGAGCUUUUUGUUGCUUAUAUUGUAUAAUACCAAAGAUUAUUAAACAACAUUCAAUAGUUAAA